rnacentral:rRNA from 1 species
UACGUAGGGUGCAAGCGUUGUCCGGAAUCAUUGGGCGUAAAGCGCGCGUAGGUGGUCAUGUAAGUCCGCUGUGAAAGUCAAAGGCUCAACCUUUGAAAGCCGGUGGAUACCGCAUGACUAGAGUACGGAAGAGGCGAGUGGAAUUCCUGGUGUAGCGGUGGAAUGCGCAGAUAUCAGGAGGAACACCAAUAGCGAAGGCAGCUCGCUGGGACGUUACUGACACUGAGGCGCGAAAGCGUGGGGAGCGAACAGG